rnacentral:rRNA from 1 species
UUAUAAGAGACAGCAGCCGCCGCGGUAAUACGGAGGAUCCAAGCGUUAUCCGGAAUCAUUGGGUUUAAAGGGUCCGUAGGCGGUCUUGUAAGUCAGUGGUGAAAGCCCAUCGCUCAACGGUGGAACGGCCAUUGAUACUGCAGGACUUGAAUUAUUGGGAAGUAACUAGAAUAUGUAGUGUAGCGGUGAAAUGCUUAGAGAUUACAUGGAAUACCAAUUGCGAAGGCAGGUUACUACCAAUUGAUUGACGCUGAUGGACGAAAGCGUGGGUAGCGAACAGGAUUAGAUACCCCAGUAGUCCCUGUCUCUUAUAA